rnacentral:lncRNA from 1 species
AUAUAGUAGAUGUAAAAUAACUAAAUUGCCCAUGUAUUAAAAGACAAAAAUAUCCUUUUUUGAGGUACCUGGUAACCGGUACCUCUCCCAAAGUAACCUGCUAUUGCAGAUCACAAUUUUAAAAAAACUAAAUCUGAACCGUUGAAUACGUUUCACAACAAAAAAAAAAAAGAGUAUAGAAGCAUUACUCUUUUCUUUAUGCAAGGACUGCAAAAACUAUCCUAAUCAUAAUGCAAGCAACGAUCAAUGCUAGAAAUACACUCAAAAGGUAGGUAUGAAUCCUAUCGCCCACCGAUCCAAGGGGGAGGUUCUCUCCACUAGUCACAUCAUAUGACUAGUGGACAACUCUCUAUCUUUCCAAUUGUAGGAUGUCUACUUUUGAGUGUACAUUUAGGGCAUGUUUGGUUCGCUCAUUUUUCACUCUGGAAUCGGAAUUGAAAUGGACGAAUCUGUUUGUCCGUAUUUGAUAUGCAGGAUUUUUAUUCCGAUUCCGAUUUCCGGGUAAAUGGGAAUCCCCCCUAAUUACCCUCUUUUCCAAUCCGGUCUAAGAGGUCGGAUUGGCAAUUGAAUUCAGGCGGAAUAGAUUUGUUCGGGUUAAAUUUAACUUUUUUAAACUUAUUUUUUAAUUAAAAUAUUAGUUUAAGUUUAAAAAUUAUAUUUAUAAAUUUUAAUUUUAAUUUAAACUUAAAUUAAAAAUUAAAAUUCAAUCAAGCAUUUCGAAUCUAAUUUAUAAAUUUGAAUUUGAAUUUAAAUUUAAAUUUAAAUUUAAAAUAUAAAAUUUUAUUCAAAUUUUAUUUAAAAUUUAAAUUAAAUUUACGGAUUCAAAUUGAAAUUGAAUGUAGUAUUAUGAUA